AUCCAAUCUCUAAACGGAACCCUACUAAACCCUAAACCCUCCUUCAUCGUCUAUAUGUAUGCCUCUCGCUCCCAUUCUCCUUUGAGACGUACCAAUACAUUCCAUCGAUUUCCUAAACAUCGGACUCUUUUUUCUUUUGAUUGUUCUUCGUUGAUCCAGAAGAACCCAAUAGGUCUCUCAAAUUUUUUAUAUUUUUUUUGGUUUAUUCUUGAAUUUUAUUUAGUUGUUUGAUUGGAUCCAAGCGCUUUCACUUCGUCGAUGAUGAAGAAAUUCAAGGCUUGUUUCUCAAAACAUUCGCAGUGGCCGCCUGAAAGCUUUCGCCUUCGCCGGGCUUGAGAGCUAAUGCUGCUUCAAUCCUUCCUUGGAUGUCUGAGACUUUUAUUUGUUUCGAUUGCUUCUAUUCGAUUGUGAUUGUUUGCGAAUGGUUGAAGGAGAGAAAAAGACGUGGGAUUUAUGGUUGGAAUGCUCCUGAAGAAGACGAUUUCAUCGAGGAGGUUGGAUUGAGUCACUGGCUCACAUUACGGGGAGAGGAGUCAGAUGCUAAAACAAAGAAAGGGGGGAAGUGGUUUCAAGCCAACAGUAGGAUCGAGAGGAAGAAAAAUGGAAAAAAGGGUUAACAUAUAUUUGUGAAAUUACAUUAUGUGCCCUCUUAAUUUCAUGUAAAAAUAUGUUUUGUGAGGACAAACUAUGUGAAAGUUGCCAUAGGAAAUAAAAAUAAUUUUUUUGAACA